AGCAUUGUUCAUGCUAGGAGCAUUAUGUGGAAGAGGUUUGAAUCUUGUGCGAAUGAAAGAUAAUGCUAAUGAAGAUAAAUGCAAGCUACAAAUACAAACAAAACAACAGAGCUUCACACAUCCUAUAGCUCUAACACUGGGGGAAAAAAAUCAUUCUCUAAGAAGUGGGCAUCCUUCAAAAGCUGUGCAGGUGUGAGGUGUUUGUUUCACACCACAGAUACUACCACAGCUUUCUUAAGCAAAAUUUCUGAGGAGUCCAGGAGGAACACUGCAGCAAGACUUAGCACUCUGAAGUGUGCACUUAAUAAAUGAACAUAAAAACGGCAGAGAGGAGAUCUGGUGACUGCUGCUUCCUUCCUGAGCUCCUCAUUAUAUGCAAUCGUCUUGUACAUGAAUUGGAGUGCACAUGCCAAACAGCCUCUAGAGAAAGAGCUGAUGCACCAGGUGCUAUGGGGGUUCCUACUGAUGACUGGAGGGUGUCUGUCCAUGCAGCCAGCAUAGGAAUUAACUUCUUGAAAGAACAGUUGGCUGUCCCCAGAGGCUGAAAGGGGAAGGAAGGAUCCUUCAUCAUGAAAGGCAUGGAGGAGCACAACUCCGAGUCAAAAACAGCCUGCAGUUCCAGUGCCUCUAUUUACUGCUUUACACUGGGCUAUACUUUCCCAUUAAUGCUUUGUAUUGUCUUGACAUAAACAUGUUCUGUGUGUGGAAGUGCGUCUUGUAUGUGACAGUUCUUAUUCCUUCCAUAGAGAUCUUUUUGAAAUUUGGAAGCAGGAUAAUUGGAAGUCUGAGUAAGAGCUUCGAGAUUGUUCUUUGGAAAAUUCAUUAGAAUAAAUCUCCUUUGUCAGUGGUUAGAAAGCAGUAACCAUGUUUCAGUUUUCUUACUCUCCAGCCCACUUGAAUGUAGAGAAGCUUUGUUGUGGACUUGCUAUUCCCACAGGCUCUUGGUGUUUCUUAAAAUACUUCAUUAUGCAGAUUUGCUGAAGGGCUUCCACCAACCAGUAUUCAGGAAUCUCUGGAUAUGUUUUUUUCUGCAACUUUGUUGCUUAGGUGAAUCUUAUAACCAUAAUCUCAUUUAAAUAGUCCUUCUGGCACUUGGCCAUGUGUCUCUGUUGCGUAUCAGUGGUAAACAGCUGAGUUGGCUGACUUUAAAAUAGAAAAACAUUGUGUUCUGGUUGGAGGUGUUAAUGAAAAGACUGUUGGUGGAAGUUAACAAUUGCAACAGUGCUGUUCCUAGAAACACAAUGUCUGUUAUUAACAAUGGCUUUAUAGGUCUGAAUGCUCCCUCUGGGAAAGAAAUAAUUGCAGUAUAUACCAGCCAGUUAAGCAAUUUCUGAAACAUGAGUUUCUGCAC
rnacentral:lncRNA from 7 species